GUCUCUUUGAAAUGAAUUGCUGGUAUAAAGAGUCGGACCUGCCCGGUGACUAAGCGUUAAACGGCCGCGGUACCCUAACCGUGCAAAGGUAGCAUAAUCAUUUGCCUUUUAAUUGGAGGCUGGUAUGAAUGGUUUGACGAAAGCUAAACUGUCUCUUCUGUGGAAUAUUUAGAAAUUAAUUUUUAGGUGAAGAAGCCUAGAUUUACUUAAAAGACAAGAAGACCCUAUUGAGCUUUAGUGAUUUUGUAGGUAAAUAGUAUUGUAUUUAAUAUAUAAGUGUAACCUACGAUUAAUCUUUAGUUGGGGCGACUAAGGAACAAAAAAAGCUUCCUCUAUAGUAUAGUAUUGAUAUAAAAAAUUUAUUAAGUUUAUUCUGUCGUGUUAAGUUGAUCCAAAUUUAUUUGAUUAAAGGAAAAAGUUACCAUAGGGAUAACAGCGUAAUCUUUCUGGAGAGAUCUUAUCGAAAGGAGGGUUUGCGACCUCGAUGUUGGACUAAGGUAUCCUAAGGGUGUAGAAGUUCUUAAGGGUUGGUCUGUUCGACCAUUAAAAUCUU
rnacentral:rRNA from 1 species